rnacentral:rRNA from 1 species
ACUCCUACGGGAGGCAGCAGUGGGAGUAUUGCAUCAAUGGGAACGGAGCAUGCAGCCAUGCCGCGUGUGUGAAGAAGGCCUUCGGGUUGUAAAGCACUUUCAGUAGGGAGGAAGGUAGUGUAGUUAACACCUGCAUUAUUUGACGUUACCUACAGAAGAAGCACCGGCUAACUCCGUGCCAGCAGCCGCGGUAAUACGUAGGUGGCAAGCGUUAUCCGGAAUUAUUGGGCGUAAAGCGCAUGUAGGCGGCUUUUUAAGUCUGAUGUGAAAGCCAGUGGCUCAACCACUGAAUUGCAUUGGAUACUGGAAAGCUAGAAUCUUGGAGAGGUAAGUGGAAUUUCAUGUGUAGCGGUGGAAUGCGUAGAUAUAUGAAGGAACACCAAUGGCGAAGGCAGCUUACUGGACAAGUAUUGACGCUGAGAUGCGAAAGUGUGGUAGCAAACAGGAUUAGAUA